CUUGUAUGUUUUUGCCCCAUGUCAUUGUCAUUUGAAAUAAAACAUACAAACGUAUAAAAAUACGAAUUAAACACUAAUUUUGUAUUUUUAUUUUAGUCCGGUCAGGUCAGAAUUUGUGUUUUUCAACAAAGACAAUUUUACCACAAUUAGAAUUUUUUAUGCCCUUCUCAGUGAGCAAUAUCCGGUUCAUUAAUUGUUCAAUAUAUAAAAAUCAACUGGCUUUAAGCAAAAUUAUGUUUUUACCUUAAAUUUGUCCAAUCUAAACCCAAGAGUUAGUUUUAUCGGAUCAACAAGUGAACUCUGUUACUUUCAAUUUAUUUUGCAAUGUAAAAUAUUAUGUUUCACUACCUCGGUACAUUACUGACUUUAAUUAUUUGAAUUCAGAAAAGAAACUGUAAAGUGACAACUCUGUUGAAAGACGAGGAAACGCUUUGUAUGCAAUGUGCCCUACAUUCAUAAAAACGUACCUUUCAAAACAGACCAACAUUCCUCUUUAUUAUUGUAGUUGAAUGUUCCAAAACAAAUCAAAUAGAUAUGAGAAGAUGUGGUAUGAGUGCCACUCGUCUUUCUAGUGUACAUGCAUAUGUGCACUUGCAUAUGGUCAACGUCUAUCCAGCGCAGCUCAAUUAUUAUUUGUUCUGUCAAAUUGUUUAGUUCAAGUAAUAGACAAUAGAAAUCAAUCUAAAAGCAUGCAUUUUUGUACUCGUUUUGCUUUAAUGGUGAUAGCAUUUAAACAUGAUAAUUUAAGGUGAAAAUCCUAUAAAAAUUAUUGUUGUUAUUAUCACCUAUGGUUAAGUUUUUGUUUGAUUUUUUCAUUACAGUUGUAUUACAUUGAUUAACCAUUUUUAUGAUUAAUCUUGAGGAUGAUUACUGUUGAUUCAAUAUAUUUUUUGGGGUAACAAAUUUUGAAGAUUUCAUUGUUACACAUGUACGUAAACUGCAAAUGUAAAUGUUCAGCAAUACAUAUUUUUUUAGGCUUUGUAUGCUGACUUUAACAAAUCUAUGAAAAGAAAUAUCCACAAACUUUCGAAUUUCUUCAAUCCUGAUUCCAUGAGAAUUGGUACACAUACCCACAAAAAAUAAAUGAAUCUACAAUAAUUCACAUAUUAAUUAGAAAAUCUCUUCAUUAAAUUACAUUGCUAAGGACCAUUUUAUACUAUUUUGAGAUGGUCUGAAAACUUAAGUAUUAGAAAUACAAAUGUACAGGAUAUAUGGAAAGUUGGACAUCAUAUGUCAUAUUAAAUUCAUAGAUGUUUACAUACAAAUUUAGACAUUUUCCCAAAAAUAUGCAUGUUCUCUUGGACUCAUUCCGUGUUUCUAUUCUGUAUUCUGUACACACUGUCAAUCUCAAAUUCAUUUUCUGAAAUCAAAUUUUAUGUAUUUCUUGAGAAACAAAAGUAACUGAAUUUCAGUUGUAUUUAUAAUUUUCUUCAUGUUUGAGAAAUAGCAUCUAAGUUUAUUCAAUAUUGAUGAAUGUAUUGAUAAAUAGACAUCAUUUUUUGCAGUCAACAUUACACUUUUCCUCUGACAUCAGCAAUUGAGGGAGAACACAUAGUUUCAUGGAAAUCUUUACACAUGUUAAACAAUUGUGUACAUGUGUACACAUUUGUAACACAAUCAUGUACAUGUGUUCAUCUGUUUAAAUAUCAUCCAUAUUUGAUUCUAAAAAGUAACUUUCACAUGACUUUCACAUGAGCAAUAUGAUUGAAAUACAGAUUUUGGCUCCAUGCUUUGCGGACAAUGCUCACCUACUUUUGUUUUUAUCAUUGUCCAAUCAAAUUCCUGCUUUAAAAUUUAAAAAUUUGUUACCCAAUUGCAAAUCAAAACAACAUUCAAUUUGAAAAGAUCUUCAGAACAUAUAGUUUAAUGGAACAUUGCCAGAAUUUUUGUCUACCUCAGAAUUGUAAAAUUGGUUUCCAUUCUUAAAUUUUAGUUGCCUCAACCCAAUGUUAUUAAUCUUAUACACAAUUCUUAUUACCACAAAACACUGAUGAAGUUCAAAUUUGGGUUGCAUUGAUUUUACUGUUCUUGAAACACAUUUGUAUGUCCCUUUGUAAAUUUAUAUGUAAGUGGGGACAUCACCUAUGUCCAAUGAACUUAUUUGAGUGAAACUUGGACACAGGAUUUGUAUUUCAAUUAGAUUGUCUUACAUGUUGAUCAUUGCAUAUUCAUUCCGUGUGGUCAUUUAGAGUAUAGUCAAGGUAAUUUACAAUUAGACUGGUACCUACCUAAUUUACAAUGUGUUGUAACAUAAUUACUUAGUCAAUGAAUUGAUUUAAAUCAAUAAAAUAUGUCUUAAAAG
rnacentral:lncRNA from 1 species